UUUGCUCAUAGAUGAUAUGCACAGUACUCCCAGAACUCAUUAAGUUGGUAGAACCAUGCAUGUCAUCUAUGAGCGAA
rfam:Macaca mulatta chromosome 1, whole genome shotgun sequence.